ACUCCUACGGGAGGCAGCAGUGGGAAUAUUGGACAAUGGGGGCACCCUGAUCCAGCAAUGCCGCGUGUGUGAAGAAGGCCUGCGGGUUGUAAAGCACUUUCAGUAGAGAAGAAAAGCUUAAGGUUAAUACCCUUGAGUCUUGACGUAACCUACAGAAGAAGCACCGGCUAACUCCGUGCCAGCAGCCGCGGUAAUACGGAGGGUGCGAGCGUUAAUCGGAAUUACUGGGCGUAAAGCGCAUGCAGGUGGUUUGUUAAGUCAGAUGUGAAAGCCCGGGGCUCAACCUCGGAAUUGCAUUUGAAACUGGCAGACUAGAGUACUGUAGAGGGGGU
rnacentral:rRNA from 1 species